CACAAGAGUAAGAGGCUAGUGAAAUACUCUGAGGAAAAUCCCUCAGUUUGAGUACCAGAGAGCUACAUUGCUGAAGGAAGAGGACAAUUGUAUGUCAAAGACAUUAGAGGAGUUAAAUAUUUCUCCCACAUCACCAACGGGGUCAGGCAUUCAAUAGAUUCACGGGUCAUCGCUCCAAGUCUGGAUACUCCAAUGAUUUGCAGAAUCUGAUGAUGCACCACAUGCAAGGACCAGGGUGUAACUUCCCAGCAGCUAUAAAGGGAAACUGAUAUGACACAAAAUUGCAGAAACAUCAACUCCCUGAUGAUCAUACUGACCGAUAGAGGUAGGAGAUAGAAAGAAACUUUAAAAAGUAUCUUCUUCAUUCUGCUCUCCAAAGAAAAGGGGCACACCUUGUUUCUCUGCUUUUGACCAAAGACAACCAGCUUGGCUGAAGAGUACUGCUACGUCUCUUUCUGAAGCAGUGGUUACCUGGAAUGCAACAUGUACCACUGCUCCCUAUCCAUCCCUGACUCAUAUCCUUUGUCUAAGACAGUCACUGCUCUAGGUUUGCAACUCUCAAGAAAGCAUUACCACUUGAGCUUUUCUUUAGGGUCAAAAACAGUGUGAUUUGGAGUUCAUUUGAUAGUUUCUGUGUUUUUGUGUGUCUCCCCUUUUCUGAUUAUUUUAGAUAUGUAGCCUAUUUUAA
rnacentral:lncRNA from 1 species